rnacentral:misc_RNA from 1 species
AUCACUGGAGAUAUAGUUUUUGUCCUUCAGCAAAAGGAACAUCAAAAAUUCAAGAGAAAGGGGGAUGACCUUAUUGUUGAGCAAAUUCUAUCCCUCACCGAAGCUCUUUGUGGGUAUCAGUUUGUAUUGACACACUUGGAUGGGAGACAGCUUCUCAUAAAAUCAAACACUGGGGAAGUUGUCAAGCCUGAUUCAUACAAGGCAAUUAAUGAUGAGGGUAUGCCCAUGUACCAAAGGCCAUUCAUGAAGGGGAAGCUAUAUAUUCAUUUUACUGUGGAAUUUCCUGAUUCUUUGACUCCAGAUCAAGUUAAAGCACUAGAGGCAAUUUUGCCUCCAAGGCCAUUGAGUCAGCUGACGGAUAUGGACCUGGAUGAAUGUGAGGAGACCACCCUACGUGAUGUUAAUAUGGAGGAGGAAAUGAGAAGGAAGCAGCAGGGCCAUGCUCAUCAGGAUGCAUAUGAGGAGCAUGAGGAGAUGCCUAGCGGCGGACAAAGG